rnacentral:rRNA from 1 species
AUGGUCAUGGAGGCAGCUCUUGUGGGUGUGGCGACAGGGGCCCUGAAGCCUGUCCUGGGGAAGCUGGGAACUCUCCUCGCUGAAGAGUACAGGCGGUUCAAGGGUGUGCGCAAGGAGAUCAAGUCUCUCACUCAUGAGCUCGCUGCCAUGGAGGCUUUUCUCCUCAGGAUGUCCGAGGUGGAGGAUCCUGAUGCGCAGGAUAAAGUAUGGAUGAAUGAGGUGCGGGAGCUUUCUUAUGACAUGGUGGAUGCCAUCGACGACUUCAUGCAAAGUGUUGAUGACGAAGACGAAAAGCCAGAUGGCUUCAUUGAGAAGAUCAAAAAAUCAUUGGGGAAAUUGGGGAAGUUGAACUUCCGCCGUCGGAGUGGCAGAGAUAUCCAAGAUCUGAAGAAACAAAUCACUGAGGUGGGUGACAGGAAUGCAAGAUACAGGACUGGUGUGGCUGUAUCCAACUCCAAGAAUGCAACCGUUGACCCUCGAGCUCUUGCUAUCUUUGAGCAUGACUCAAAAUUGGUGGGAAUCGAUGAACCUAAGGUUGAGAUAAUCAAACUGUUGACUCAAGAGGAUGGACGCACUUCUGCAGAAGAGCCAUUGAAGGUAGUCUCAAUUGUUGGAUCCGGAGGAACAGGCAAGACAACUCUUGCAUACCAAGUGUACCAAGACCUCAAAGGGAAAUUCGACUGUUCGGCCUUCCUAUCUGUGUCGCGAAAUCCAGACAUGAUACAUAUCAUGAGAACUAUUCACAGUCAAGUUAGCCGUCAAGAAUAUUCUAAAACGGAAGCAGCAAAUGUACAACAAGUUAUCAUCAAUAUCAGUAAUUUUCUAGCCGACAAAAGGUACUUUGUUGUUGUUGAUGAUAUAUGGGACAUCGACACAUGGGAUAUUAUUAAGUGUGCAUUCCCCACUACAAGUUAUAGUAAUAGAAUAAUCACCACAACUCGUAUGAACAAUGUCGCUCAUUCAUGCUGUUCAACAUCCAGUGGUCAUAUUUACAAUAUAAGGCCUCUUAAUAUGGUGCACUCAAUGCAAUUAUUUCAUAGAAGAUUAUUCAAGCCUGAUGAAAAUUGUCCUUCAUACCUUCAAGAAGUUUCAAAGCAGAUAUUGGAAAAAUGCCACGGGUUACCUUUGGCGAUAGUUGCUAUAUCUGGUUUAUUGGCUAACACAGGAAGAGAAGAAAAUAUGUGGAAUCAAGUGAAAGAUUCAAUUGGCCGUGCACUUGAAAGGAAUUCUACCGUCGAAGGAAUGAUGAAGAUAUUGUCACUUAGUUAUUUUGAUCUGCCUCCUUAUCUAAAAACUUGUCUUUUAUAUCUGAGCAUAUAUCUAGAAGAUUCUACUAUUGGGAAGAAGGGCCUGAUAAAAAGAUGGAUUGCCGAAGGAUUUAUUCAUACAGAAGGCAGAUACACAACAUAUGAUUUAGGAGAAAUGUGCUUUAAUGAGCUACUGAAUAGGGGUUUGAUCCAACCUGUGGAGACAAAUGAAUAUGACAAGGUGGAGAGUUGUCGAGUUCAUGACACAAUUCUUGAUUUCAUCAUAUCCAAGUCUAUAGAGGAAAACUUCGUUACAUUACUUGGCGAUCCCAUUCUGACAAUUAAGAACCAAAGCAAAGUUGUUCGUCGACUCUGUCUCCAAGGUGCCAAGGAAGGAAAUUCAACAGUACUAACAACAGGUCUCGUGUUGUCCCAUGUCCGAUCACUUAUUGUGGUCAGAGGUGCUGUGGAAAUCCCUUCUUUGGCAGAGUUCAGACAUCUGCGUGUUCUCGACUUGAGUGACCAAUCACUGAAAGAACAACAUCUUGAAAACAUAGUGAAGUUGUUCCAGCUGAGGUACUUGAACCUUGAAUGUACAAUAAUAAGCAAGCUCCCAGAACAAAUCGGGCGUUUGGGGUUCUUACAGAUGCUGGACCUAAGUGACACUUGUGUAGAAGAGUUACCCACGUCUAUUAUUAAUCUUGGAAAAUUGUCCCAUCUACUUGUUGAUAAUUAUGUGAAAUUUCCUGAUGGGAUUGCAAAGAUGCAAGCACUGGAGACGUUGGAAGAUGUGAGGGUCUCCAUUCAGCCGUUUGACUUCCUAUGGGGCCUUGGCCAACUAAAGAAUUUGAGAAAUCUGCAGCUUGACCUUCGUUUUGAAGUUGAUUCUGACACUGAGGAUACAUACAGAGACAGGUUUUUCUACUCCCGGGUGUGGGCACUCCCCUUAUCUACACCAUUCCUAGCAGAUUCCAUUUUCUCGAGAUCUCAACCAUGGCCUGCUACCCAGCGUGAUUUGUAG